rnacentral:rRNA from 1 species
UAAGCAUAUCAAUAAGCGGAGGAAAAGAANCCAACAGGGAUUGCCCCAGUAACGGCGAGUGAAGCGGCAACAGCUCAAAUUUGAAAUCUGGCCCCCCGCGGGCCCGAGUUGUACUUUGGAGAGGACGCUUCUGGCGCGGCGCCGUCCGAGUUCCCUGGAACGGGACGCCGGAGAGGGUGAGAGCCCCGUACGGGCGGCCGCCUAGCCUCUGCGAAGCUCCUUCGACGAGUCGAGUAGUUUGGGAAUGCUGCUCAAAAUGGGAGGUAAAUUUCUUCUAAAGCUAAAUACCGGCCAGAGACCGAUAGCGCACAAGUAGAGUGAUCGAAAGAUGAAAAGCACUUUGAAAAGAGGGUCAAACAGUACGUGAAAUUGUUGAAAGGGAAGCGCCUGUGGCCAGACUUGCGCCCCGCGGACCACCCGGCGCCUCGCGCGCCGGGGCACGCCAGCGGGGCGCAGGCCAGCAUCGGCUCUCUCGGGGGGACAAAGGCCGCGGGAACGUAGCGCCCUCGCGGCGUAUUAUAGCCCGCGGCGCCAUGCCCCCGGGGGGGCCGAGGACCGCGCUCCGGCAAGGAUGCUGGCGUAAUGGCCACCGGCGACCCGUCUUGAAACACGGACCAAGGAGUCAAGCAUUGGGGCGAGUGUCUGGGUGGCAAGCCCGCACGCGGAAUGAAAGUGAACGCAGGUGGGAGCUUCGGCGCACCACCGACCGAUCCUGAUGUCCUCGGAUGGAUUUGAGUAGGAGCCCCGCCGCUUGGACCCGAAAGAUGGUGAACUAUGCCUGUAUAGGGUGAAGCCAGAGGAAACUCUGGUGGAGGCCCGCAGCGGUUCUGACGUGCAAAUCGAUCGUCAAAUAUGGGCAUGGGGGCGAAAGACUAAUCGAACCAUCUA